rnacentral:rRNA from 1 species
UACGUAGGGGGCGAGCGUUGUCCGGAUUUAUUGGGCGUAAAGAGCUCGUAGGCGGUUUGGUAAGUUGGAUGUGAAAUCUCCAGGCUCAACUUGGAGGGGUCAUUCGAUACCGCCAUGACUAGAGUUCGGUAGGGGAGUGUGGAAUUCCUGGUGGAGCGGUGAAAUGCGCAGAUAUCAGGAGGAACACCCGUAGCGAAGGCGGCACUCUGGGCCGGAACUGACGCUGAGGAGCGAGAGCGUGGGGAGCGAACAGG